GAUAAGUUCCAGAACUUUCCCUUGCAUCUCUGCAAAAUUCAGCUGGUAACAUCUCCCCUCACUUGGCUGAAUCAACUCAGAGGAAAUCACUGUACAAGAUCUCAUCAUAAACGCCUCAUCUCAACUCGCUCCUGUCAACUCUGUCAGGGUAAAGUCCAAGAUUGUUAAUAUGAUGUAUGAGUUUCUGUGUAUGGCCUACACUCAUUUCUGAAGCUUUAUCCCUUCACUCUUGAAGUGUGUGCUGUUUUCCAGUAACCAAGUGAACUUCAAGCUCUUCUUCCACAUCCUGCUGGUCAUGCUCAAAUCAUAGCCUCUUCCUGGAAUGAUUAUUACCCUUUUUGACUUUGAAAGUGGCAAACAAGCCUUAAGUGUCAGCUUCAGCAUAUCUCUUCUGAAAGUUUUUCAUCUGAGCUGUAGUGUUCCCAGUGAUUUCCAGAGCUGCUGUUGACCUCCAGUACUACAAUCAUAGGAGGUUGAGACUACUAUAGCCCUCAACCAGUCAAUAUGCAGAGAAGAGCUGCUCGACCCUCUUGAUAUAUCUACAGUGCAGCCCGUAUACACAAGGAUCAAAGAAUGCCUUAGCUAUAUUUUCUAUUGCUGUGAUUAACACCGUUGCUAUAACAGCUGGGGGCGGAACAGGUUGAUUUUGUUCACACUUCCACAUUACUGAGGGAACUCAGAGCAGGAGCUCAAACAUCACAGGAAUCUGGAGACUGGAGCUGAUGCAGAGGCCAUGGAGGACUGGUACUGACUUGCUUGCUCCUCAUAGAUCACUUAGCCUGCUUCCUUACAGUGCCCACGACCACCAGCCCAGUGGCAACAUCGCCCCCCAGAGACCUUCCCAGAUCAAAAGCUUCCCACAUCAAACAAGGGCAUUUUGUUUUAAAAGGGUUAAACAGAUGGCUAUAUGCAUCUGAAGAAGAGACCUGUAAGCUGAAGUGGAAAUAUAACUAGUUAAUUAUAAUAUAAGAUAAUUAAGCCUCUCCAUGGCAGAGGCAGGAGUGGUGGAAACAUCUGAGGAUUAGAGAUGGCGUCCACCAUAAAGUCUCCAUUCCCAAGAGGGAUGGAGAGGGUUCAGCAAACGCGUAUGACAUUUGCUGAAUCCUCAGAUGUGUUAGAUUCAGAGAAAAAAGAGCAAAUCACCUAGCCCUUUACUCACAUUGUAGAACUUUAGAGAAAAACAGGGUAUAAAAGGCACUCAGAACAAAAUGAAGAACUCUGAAAAAUCAAGCGAUAAUGAUUUUCAAACCAUUUGAGGCUUCGCGAGACAGCCAAUGACAUCUUUAAAGAAAUAACAAACGUGAUGGAAGGCCAAUGCUUAGCAUAUAUUAUGUACUUUAGCAGUAACAUGUAAAUGAAAAUGGCUUCCUAGAUUGUCUUACCUAUCUAUGUGCUUUACAGUAUUUUAAAGUGUUUUCCAUGUGAUGAUCUCAGUCCUAAUUAAAAUGCACUGUCUAGAAGCUUUAUGACCCAGAAAACGUUAGUUAAUCUUUCUAUUUCAUUUGCUCCAUCUAUAAAUAGCAACCCCACUAGAUUAUACGAAAUUUUAUGUUGUAAGUGAAAUGAUAUUUAUAAAAUGUCUAAAACUUCUGGGCAUACAGGAAGCUACGCGUGUCAUCUAUUACCGCUGUUAUAGUCAUUGAAUGAUUGCAAUGUCUCUGUGGAAGAGGCCUUAUUUCUAUUUUUCACGGGACUGUCCUGUUUGAUAGUUAAUGUCCUAUCCAGAAUGGCAAUUGGACCUUUUAAAUUAGGACCUGAAUUUGUGUCUCUUGUAUCCUAGUAUUCUGAAUUCCUUUUUAAAUACUAAUCUUUUAUAAAAAUAAAUGCUUUUCAAUAAACAAUUUAUUCUA